rnacentral:lncRNA from 1 species
GCUUGUAAAUCUUGAAAGAAAGCAAAAAUGGAAUUACCACAAAGUCAGACCAGAUCAAUGCAAAUAAAAUUAUCGCCAUUGGAAUGUGGUUGGACGAGUGUUACAAUGGAUGGCAGAAGCAUUGAAUCAGAUCUUAUUGGAAAAGAUACAUUUGAAAGUUUUGAAACCUGGAUUUUGGAAAACAAAAUGAUAACUUGUAUGACCAGUAAUUUAGCACGUAAGACUAGAAUCAGUUCAUUUAUAGUAACUGGAAAUGGAAAUGGAUUAGCGCGCUGGAUUUGCGUUAUCAAAAGCCAAAGCAUCCCUAAAGACGGUUAAAAAUAGGGCUGGUCAAAGAUUAAUGUAUAUUCCUACAUAUAAGGAACACACUAUGUUACAUGAUUUUUUUACACACUUUGAGAAUAUAAAAAUAUUUGUAAAGAAAAUUCAUGAAGGAUAAUGGGCUUGUUUGUCAUCAUGCGAUAAAAGCAUGUUGCGAGACAAUUGGCAUAAAGGAUAUGUAUGCCAAAGUACAAGGAGGAAUGUAAAAGCAUUCUUUGGUUGGUUUAUUGCAAUAGGUGUGAAUAUAAAGUAUUUAAAGGCAUAUUAUACUUUUUAUUUAAUUUAU